UAAACUGCUGGCAGAAGAAGAUUAUGAAAAAGCUCCCUAUUUACAACAACAGCCUUUGCCCAGACACAUUCUUAUGCAGGAAAUUAAAUC